UGGGGAAUUUUGGACAAUGGGGGAAACCCGUGAUCCAGCCAUCCCGCGUGUGCGAUGAAGGCCUUCGGGUUGUAAAGCACUUUUGGCAGGAAAGAAACGUCGCGGGUUAAUACCCCGCGAAACUGACGGUACCUGCAGAAUAAGCACCGGCUAACUACGUGCCAGCAGCCGCGGUAAUACGUAGGGUGCAAGCGUUAAUCGGAAUUACUGGGCGUAAAGCGUGCGCAGGCGGUUCGGAAAGAAAGAUGUGAAAUCCCAGAGCUUAACUUUGGAACUGCAUUUUUAACUACCGGGCUAGAGUGUGUCAGAGGGAGGUGGAAUUCCGCGUGUAGCAGUGAAAUGCGUAGAUAUGCGGAGGAACACCGAUGGCGAAGGCAGCCUCCUGGAAUAACACUGACGCUCAUGCACGAAAGCGUGGGGAGCAAACAGGAUUAGAUACCCUGGUAGUCCACGCCCUAAACGAUGUCAACUAGCUGUUGGGGCCUUCGGGCCUUGGUAGCGCAGCUAACGCGUUAAAUCGACCGCCUGGGGAGUAC
rnacentral:rRNA from 1 species